AUUCUGCGGGGAGAGAUAGAAACCACAGACUCUAAUUGCAAGUUAGAGAGCAUCAUACUCUGUUGUUAGUUUUUGUUUAAUUGCAUUGUUUUGUCAGUUUUGCAGACGCAGUCAGUGAUUGGGAAGUUAACUUACCGUGUGAAAAGCACUUUAGUUGGAUUUUGGAAUGGAUGACUAUACUUCACUUUCGGACAGCAAGACAAGGCGCCAGAUGAUCCCUCUCCUAAAAAGGAAACAUGAAUAAUUUUUUGAAUAUGAUCUCUUGCUUAUGUCCAUUUGAAAUGAUGGUGGGUAGCAGAUAUAUGCUUGGGUUAGACAAAACACGAAGGAUAAAGUCAUGUGCUGUGUGCAGUUUGGAGAUGCAACAUUUAGGAGGAAACCGUGGGUCCAUGUGUAACAUAAUAUGAAAGAUGGAUAUGUCCUUACUUUGCAGAAGUUCUGUAACAGAAAGCUAAUUUGGAAUA